AAAAAGGACCGCAUGCUCAAAUAGAAAAGGACAUGAGCUGAGGUUGAUAGAGUGACAUUUCAAUUGUGAAGGAUUGGUCAUAUUCAAAAGACUUCCAACUAGCAAGCAUUGAUUAGAUUCACAAAGACUCAUCACAUGAAGAUAAAGUUAAUAGCAAAGAUUAGUGUUAUACCAAUUAGGGCUCCUCUCCCCUUUGCUAUAUGAAGGAAAUCGCCUCACACUGCGAAAUUACAGAGUAAAUGAAAUGACA
rnacentral:misc_RNA from 1 species